rnacentral:misc_RNA from 1 species
AAGUCGUAACAAGGUUUCCGUAGGUGAACCUGCGGAAGGAUCAUUCACUAUUUUUGAUAUGAGGUGUGUUAAUAAUAAUGCGGUGAUUACGCAAUCAUUCAUUAUUAUUUUUAUCUCGUAUUAUAUAUAUUUAUACAAACUACAGUGUGCGUUGAAACUAUUUUAACAGGAAUGGAUAUACGUGCUAUACGUGCUAUACGUGGUAUAUUCAUUCUAAUUUUUUUUUCAUAAUCAUUAAACAACUAGUAUAUAAAUAAUUUAGUGAAAUAAUAUUAUCAUUUAUGUUUAAAACAACUCUUUGCAAUGGAUAUUUUGGUUCUC